rnacentral:tRNA from 1 species
GCCUGGGUGGCUCAGUCGGUUAAGCUGCUGACUUCAGCUCAGGUCAUGAUCUCGUGGUUCGUGGGUUCGAGCCCCAUGCCGGGCU